AUAACAUGCAAAUGUUAUUUGUUUUUGAAAUAUAUAAUAUAAUUUGUUGUAAAAAAAAUAUUAAUAAUAAUUAGAUCGGUAUAAAUCAAAACGAGGAUGCGCUUUCAAGUUAUUAUCUUUAGAGGUGUUGCGUUGGAGUCCGAAGAUGUAAUAAUAUUAAGACAUUAAGAAUGACACAAAAGGAACUUUUUCUUCAUAACUUACAAUUUCAAUUAAUAAUGUUCAUCAAGCCCUUAGUUAGUGAACUUUGUGUUGCAUCCAAAAAAUGUGUGGGUUCUUUUUAUAAUUUUGGACAGUUUAAAUAUCAACAAAAUCAAGUACGUAAUUUUUUUUAUGUUAGAAAUUUAUUUAAAAAUUCUACACCUCCAAAAAUAAAACAAAUUUUUACAAGUAAACGAGAUUUGUCAGAACUGAAAUCUUUUGGUCAACCUAUUGGACAGCUUAAAGGAAAGUUGAGUUUGUCUUACACUUGCAAAGUAUGUAACACUCGUUCAACAAAAAUAAUUAAUAAGCAAGCAUAUGACACUGGUGUCGUUCUUAUAAAAUGUGAUGGUUGCAGUAAUCUUCAUCUGAUAGCCGAUAAUCUUGGAUGGUUUUAUGACCAAAAAAGAAAUAUAGAAGAUAUUAUAAAAGAGAAAGGUGAAACUGUUAUGAAAAUUGAAAAGGAAAAUAAUAAAGAAGACAUUGUUCAAUUUGUAUCUAAAAAAUAAAAAUCCAAUUAUUUUGGAUUUCAAAUAAAAUAUUAUGGGCUUUCAAGCGUUUAUAUCUUCACAAACAGAGUUAUAUUUGUCACUUGGAUUAAAUAUCGACAAUGAUGGUAGUGAAGCUGAAAAAAGAUAAUGGAAUGCUGAAGAGAAAAAUCUAAAUUUUUAGUCCAUAGAUUACCUAAUAAAAAAGAUAUUAACUA